CAUGGCAUCUGGCAGCUAGAAGAUGCUAAAACAAUGCUUUCCAAAUGCCAAGGAAAAAUACUUUCAACAUAACAUUUUAUAUCAAGCAAAGAACAUUACUAGAUGGGAAACAAAAGCGAUGGAGAAAUCAAAAAGUUGGGGAUACAUGGGAAUCAGUGUAAGAGACAGCUAUCUGCUCAGCCUGCGAGUGCUGCAGUCCCACAGAGGUGAGCCUACAAAUCCCUUACACAAUUUGCCCCCAGAUCUGGAUCUCUUGUG